ensembl:lncRNA
GGGAUCUCUGGUUGGAGAUUCUGUUCUUGGGGAGUCUUUUCUGCAAGCCUGGAUAUUUGGAGAUGGGUCAUGCUCAGUCUCCAAAAGCCUUUCCCAGGUGGCAUGAAAGAGGAAACAGCCUUUGCUACCUCCCAGGGAAAUACACUGCAGGAACAAGACCUCUUCCUCUUGACUCAACUUUGAAGAUGCGGCACUGAACAUCUUAGCAGCUGCAUGAGCCAUAACCAUCAGAGAAUCACUCAGGGACCACAAUGGGAACAUGUUAUCACACACGUUCCAUGUGGUGGAACAUCUGUGGUGGGCUCUUAGCAACCUCAGCCAGCUCCCUGCUGCUCCAGGUGGUCCCUGCGAAGGCCAGCACAGCCUGGCACUCUUCUAGCUUUCAGCAGGAACUUUUGUCUCGCACAUUCUUACUGAGGAACUUCCCCCGGGAUGAGAGCUGUGGAGCAGACAGAUCUCCUGACAGCAUAUCAUGCUAUGGCUGCAACCUGACCAGAAUAACACAGUGUGAACAGACUUGGGACCCUGUUUUAGACCUUUAGGCUUCUGGUAUCAGGUGCAGUAUUUCAUGAUGUUAUUUUUAAAGUUCUAGCAGGUGGAUUCAUAUUGCAGCAUUAAAAGUCAUAAUUACAGAAGUCCAAAAAUGGGACCAGAACUUAAAAUCAUCACCUGAACCAUAAGGCUGAACUCCUUUCCUCAAUUUUACACUUCCUAAUAUUCUCUCUUUCCAAAUCUCUGAGAAGUUUCAUGUCAGGAAAAAAAGAUCACAAUGACUCUUGAAAAAAUAAUUAUGAGAGUUUAGCGGCACUUCUGAUUUUUUUUAUCUUGCCCAAAUCACCGUGGGCAGAGUUUUUGUCCAAACCCUCACCUCUGUUACCAUGUUACCAUGGCACAAAGAUAUUUUCAUUAAAAUGUCCCUAUAACAAAAAGCUCAGACAAGUCACACAUCCACAAAGGAACAAAGCCAUGGGACAAGCCUUUUGUUGCCCAUCUGAGUCCUCCCAUGCUCUUCUCUGCCCUUGCUUGCCACAAAGCUCUUCCAAAAGCCCUUGGGGGCUUUUAAAAACAGUGCAAUGCCCCUACACGUUUCCAUGUACACCAGGAGAAGUGACCCACCUUCAGCUGUGAUUUUUAAGUAUGCAAUAUAUUGUUUGGUAAUUUCAGAGCAAAUUUAACAGGCUCUUGAAAUCAGUUUAAGUAGUUGCAACAAUUUGAGCUAUUGAAGGUGUUUUGAUGUCUAUGCUGCUUGUGUGUCUUGAUGAGGUUUGAAGGCUUAAAAUAGGAAACCCAAGUGUUUGUUGUAGGAGAAAGCAUGUGUUGUGCAUAUGUUGGUGCUUUUAUGUUUACAGCUGCAGCCCUGAAUAAAUUGCUGUUUCUUGAAGUCUCC